UUACUCUGCCGUGUGACUGGCGUUUCCUCCCUGAACUUGGCCCGCUGGCCCUAUGGUCGGCGGGCUUUUUUCUGGCCAUA
rnacentral:sRNA from 1 species